rnacentral:rRNA from 1 species
UACGUAGGGUGCGAGCGUUAAUCGGAAUUACUGGGCGUAAAGCGUGCGCAGGCGGUUCUCCAAGUCCGUUGUGAAAGCCCCGGGCUCAACCUGGGAAUGGCAGUGGAAACUAGGGGACUGGAAUCUGGCAGAGGGGGGUGGAAUGCCGCGUGUAGCAGUGAAAUGCGUAGAGAUGUGGAGGAAUACCGAUGGCGAAGGCAGCCCCCUGGGCUAACACUGACGCUCAUGCACGAAAGCGUGGGGAGCAAACAGG